UACGGGGGGGGCAAGCGUUGUUCGGAAUUACUGGGCGUAAAGGGCUCGUAGGCGGUCUGUCGCGUCGGCUGUGAAAUCCCGAGGCUCAACCUCGGGUCUGCAGUCGAUACGGGCAAACUAGAGUAUUGCAGGGGAGACUGGAAUUCCUGGUGUACGCGGUGGAAUGCGCAGAUAUCAGGAGGAACACCGGUGGCGAAGGCGGGCUCUGGGCAGGUAACUGACCA
rnacentral:rRNA from 1 species